AUGAAGAAAAAUCAACCAAAACAACAGAAUAAAGUAAAAAAGCAGAAGUGAAACAUAAAAAGAGUUCACAAUCUGAUCUGAUUCAGAGAAAUAAAACAGUUUGAUCACGGAUGAACAGAAGGAGUUUCAUAUAAUGACAUAAAGAUACUGCUAGUUCAUUCAAAGAGGAAAGACAAAUGAAUAAAAUAAGCAAUAAAACUAUUACAAAACACAGCUGUCCAGAAAAUAAUCUUCAUAACUAAAACUGUAGAAAAUCUGGUUAAUUCAUAUCUCCUGGUUUAAUGAAUCUCUUGGUUUUAUAUAAGAUCUGUUGUUGACAGGUGAAAGCUGGACUGAUUCUGAACUCAUUUCUCACAGAUGUGAAGAUCUGCUGCUGCUCUCAUGAAUCUUCUGCUGUGUGUUCAUGUCUCUCUCGAAAUCUUCUCAUUCUCACUUUCUGAUCCUUCUGUUUCUUUCCUAAAAGCAUCAUCAUCAUCAUCAUCAUCUUCACACUCUCAAUAUUUGCAUGUCAAAUCCAUAAUGAUGAUCAUGAAUUUCUCUCACCUGACAUGUGUCUCAUGUAGAUGUGAAAAGCUCCUAACAGACCCAACAGAACCAUCAUCUGGAGACACCAGACCAGAACAAACACCACAGACACUGAACAACACAAACACAUCAAUCAAUCAAUCAAACAAUCAAUCAAUCAAUCAAUCAAUCAAUCAAUCAGUGUUGGGCAGUUAAUUAUCUGUUUAUUCACAGAAAUGAGCUCACCAGGACAGGGUUGGACUCUAAUGGUCUUCUGUGCGUGACUGACGUGGUUCUUCACGCUGCAGCUGAUGUCUCCAUCAGUUCCCUCAUCCAGAUCAAUGCUGCUGUUUCCAUCCAUCAGUGGAUCUCCAUUCAGAGUCCAGCUGUAGAGGAGCUGAUCCCCCUCAGAGGAGCAGAACACCCUCAUCACCCCACUGGAGGAGCAGAUGAUUGACACUUCCACUGAGCCAAUAGGAGCUGGAGGGAGGGACACAUGACAGUCACAUGACAAACACAGGGGAAUCUUGUUCUUCCACACUACUCAUACUAUUACUGGAGUCUGUAGUGUGUUUACUGUGUGCUACAGGAAUAAAAACCUUCCCAGAGAUUCA
ensembl:lncRNA